UCGGGAAUUUUGGGCAAUGGGCGAAAGCCUGACCCAGCAACGCCGCAUGAGGGAUGAAGUAUUUCGGUAUGUAAACCUCGAAAGAAUGGGAAGAAUAAAUGACGGUACCAUUUAUAAGCUCCGGCUAACUACGUGCCAGCAGCCGCGGUAAUACGUAGGGAGCAAGCGUUGUUCGGAUUUACUGGGCGUAAAGGGCGCGUAGGCGGCGCGGUAAGUCACUUGUGAAAUCUCUGAGCUUAACUCAGAACGGCCAAGUGAUACUGCUGUGCUAGAGUGCGGAAGAGGCAACCGGAAUUCUUGGUGUAGCGGUGAAAUGCGUAGAUAUCAAGAGGAACACCUGAGGCGAAGGCGGGUUGCUGGGCCGACACUGACGCUGAUGCGCGAAAGCCAGGGGAGCAAACG
rnacentral:rRNA from 1 species